UGAGUCGGCCAGGCGGCCGCGUACCGACCCUUCCUCGUGGAGGUGAUCGGUCCGAGGAACGUCCGGACUCCACAGGGCACGGUGCUGGGUAACACCCAGUCGGGGCGACCCGAAGGAAAGUGCCACAGAGAACAGACCGCCGAUGGCGGGUCAAUCUCCGGAGUGACCCGCACAGGCAAGGGUGAAACGGUGCGGUAAGAGCGCACCAGCAUCCGGGGUGACCCGGGUGGCUCGGCAAACCCCGCCAGGAGCAAGGUCGAACAGGGGGAGUGCGGCCCGCACGCAGACACCCCCGGGUGGACCGCUAGAGGUGACGGGCAACCGUCACCCGAGAGGGAUGGCCGUCGGGCGUCGCGAGACGCUCACAGAAUCCGGCGUACCGGCCGACUCACCAC
rnacentral:RNase_P_RNA from 1 species